rnacentral:rRNA from 1 species
UGAACUCGCUGUGAAGAUGCAGUGUACCCGCGGCAAGACGGAAAGACCCCGUGAACCUUUACUAUAGCUUGACACUGAACAUUGAGCCUUGAUGUGUAGGAUAGGUGGGAGGCUUUGAAGUGUGGACGCCAGUCUGCAUGGAGCCGACCUUGAAAUACCACCCUUUAAUGUUUGAUGUUCUAACGUGGGCCCCUUACCGGGGUUGCGGACAGUGUCUGGUGGGUAGUUUGACUGGGGCGGUCUCCUCCUAAAGAGUAACGGAGGAGCACGAAGGUUGGCUAAUCCUGGUCGGACAUCAGGAGGUUAGUGCAAUGGCAUAAGCCAGCUUGACUGCGAGCGUGACGGCGCGAGCAGGUGCGAAAGCAGGUCAUAGUGAUCCGGUGGUUCUGAAUGGAAGGGCCAUCGCUCAACGGAUAAAAGGUACUCCGGGGAUAA